ACGACCUUACUUGAACAGGAUCUGUUCUAUAGGCUCGUACUUCUGUGUCCUUAAGUAUAAAGGAGACAAGAACCACAACUUGGAUGAUGACUGAAGAUCGCGUGACCAGAGCGUGAGUACUGGUCGGCUGCUCCAAACUUGUUUGGCUCAGCUUGGCCGCAGAGGAUCGUUCCCGUGGGGCUACCCCCCAUGGGAUGGUCGCGUGAUUGUCUUGACAGGUU